rnacentral:rRNA from 1 species
UGGGGAAUAUUGCACAAUGGGCGCAAGCCUGAUGCAGCCAUGCCGCGUGUGUGAAGAAGGCCUUCGGGUUGUAAAGCACUUUUGUCCGGAAAGAAAUCCUUGGCUCUAAUACAGUCGGGGGAUGACGGUACCGGAAGAAUAAGCACCGGCUAACUACGUGCCAGCAGCCGCGGUAAUACGUAGGGUGCAAGCGUUAAUCGGAAUUACUGGGCGUAAAGCGUGCGCAGGCGGUUUGCUAAGACCGAUGUGAAAUCCCCGGGCUCAACCUGGGAACUGCAUUGGUGACUGGCAGGCUAGAGUAUGGCAGAGGGGGGUAGAAUUCCACGUGUAGCAGUGAAAUGCGUAGAGAUGUGGAGGAAUACCGAUGGCGAAGGCAGCCCCCUGGGCCAAUACUGACGCUCAUGCACGAAAGCGUGGGGAGCAAACAGGAUUAGAUACCCUGGUAGUCCACGCCCUAAACGAUGUCAACUAGUUGUUGGGGAUUCAUUUUCCUUAGUAACGUAGCUAACGCGUGAAGUUGACCGCCUGGGGAGUACGGUCGCAAGAUUAAAAGCUUAAA